UACGCAUGGUGAUGACACAUAUUCAACAACUCCUUAAACCUCUCACAAUCUUGAUACAAAGUCUCACUAUUAUUUUGUGCAAAAGUGGAGAUCUGCCUCUCUAAAGCA